CGUGAUGUAGGACAAGCCAAUUAAACAAUUAUUGUAAAAUGGUGAUGAUGGUACAUACUUCGCUUAGGAGAAUACAAAUAAGAGAUGGUGUACUAAUUUAGAUCUACGGGUGAUUUCGGUUGACAGCGACAGGACACAAACGAUGAAAUAUAAAAGAUACAAAGUAGCUGCACGUUCCAGUGGACACGCCCUCGCUGAGACGCAGUUGUGGCGUUUAGAAGAAAGUGUCACGGCUGACGGAACCAAACGCCUGUUGCAACACAU